UGACAGGCUUUGAAGAAUGUGAAGAAGGUAAUGAUCAUAAAGGCAGGUGAGGUGGUGUAGUGGGAUCAAUGAUGGCGAUGGAGAGGAUACACAGAAAGAGGACUUCACCAUCAUUGCUGUUGGGUUGAGAGAGAGAAAAAAACAAAGUAUAAAAAAAUU